rnacentral:lncRNA from 1 species
CUAUUUAUGUGUUAUUUUCAAUCAUAUUAUUAUAUUGGUGUGAGUGUACGGGGAUUCUUACUUGGCUGUAAAGUUCACCAUCCGUCUUUCUCCUCUUUCCUUUUCUAGAGUUGCAGGACACAUAGUUUUGGAUGGAUCUGAUUUGAAGUUUGAACAACAGAAUAAUUUUACAGAUCUUGCAUACUCUUUAGGACUUGCCAGAGAGUAUAUGGCCAUCACGUAUUCGACCUAGGAGCUGGAAUCGGGAUGUGACACAAAAAUUCUACAAAGUAAUGCUUUUCGAUGAAUAUGGAUGGAUUGGUUCAAAAGAUUCAUAAGAGUUUAAAGGAUAAAGCCAUAGAAAUUAGAAAAGUAAGAGAUAGAAUAAUCUUAAUAAAAUUGGUAUUAAGAAGGAGUUUAUUAAUAUCAUUAGUACAUGUACUCCUGAAGUGUGAGUGAAUGAUGCUACAAAGCAAUAUGUUUGAGAGGACGUGAAUAAAUUAGUUCAGAAAUUUCUAGUAGAGAAAAGAUAUGUACCAAUGAAGAUUUGAAUCAGAAUGAGAAAUAUAGUCUUAGUUUUGACAUGAUGCGAGAAGGUAUGGUUUUGAAGAUAAAAAAUGACAAUGCCACAGGACCUAGCAUUAGCUAACACAUACUUUAAAAAGGACUCUC